GGGCCCGCACAAGCGGUGGAGCAUGUGGUUUAAUUCGACGCAACGCGAAGAACCUUACCUGGGUUUGACAUGUGCAGGAUCAGUGAUGAAAGUCACUCUCCCUUCGGGGCCUGUGCACAGGUGCUGCAUGGCUGUCGUCAGCUCGUGUCGUGAGAUGUUGGGUUAAGUCCCGCAACGAGCGCAACCCUUGCCCUCUGUUGCUACCGGGUCAUGCCGGGCACUCUGAGGGGACUGCCCCGGUGAACGGGGAGGAAGGUGGGGAUGACGUCAAGUCCUCAUGGCCUUUAUGUCCAGGGCUACACACGUGCUACAAUGGUCAGGACAAUGGGUCGCUCCCUCGCAAGAGGUUGCCAAUCUCAAAAACCUGGCCCUAGUUCGGAUGGUCGGCUGCAACUCGCCGGCCUGAAGCUGGAAUCGCUAGUAAUCGGAGAUCAGCACGCUCCGGUGAAUACGUUCCCGGGCCUU
rnacentral:rRNA from 1 species